rnacentral:lncRNA from 1 species
CAAAUUCUUUCGCAAAAGGUUGGAUGUUCUAACUCGUGAAAAAAAAGAUAAUUCUCAGACCUUUGGGAUCCCCCUUUCCCAAGUCAUUGCCAACGACUUGGCCAACAAACAGCAGAGGGAAGCCAUGAAGGUUCCUCGGAGAGAAGGCCUGGAUGUGGAGGCUUCUGUGCUUCGCUUCCUCACUGAGAAGCAUCGCCAGUGCAUGCAAGGAGAACACUCCCUGCUUGGAGCCCUGAUGGAGUACCACCGGGAGCCUCUGACUCCCAUCUUUGCGGAGCAUCCCCCAAAGCUCCAGAGAAGGGUCCCCGUUAUUGUGGACAAGUGCUGUGAGCACAUCGAGGAGCAUGGUAAGGAUGUGAGGG